UACAGAGGUCUCAAGCGUUGUCCGGAUUUAUUGGGCGUAAAGAGCUCGUAGGCGGUUUGGCAAGUCGGGUGUGAAAACUCCGGGCUCAACUCGGAGACGCCACUCGAUACUGCCAUGACUCGAGUCCGGUAGGGGAGUGCGGAAUUCCUGGUGUAGCGGUGAAAUGCGCAGAUAUCAGGAGGAACACCGGUGGCGAAGGCGGCACUCUGGGCCGGUACUGACGCUGAGGAGCGAAAGCGUGGGGAGCGAACAGG
rnacentral:rRNA from 1 species